GAUGAACGCUGGCGGCGUGCCUAACACAUGCAAGUCGAACGGAGUCCAGCCUUUAAGACCUUCGGGUCAAAGAGGGGAAGACUGAGUGGCGGACGGGUGAGUAACACGUGGGCAACCUGGCUCAUAGAGGGGAAUAACAGAGAGAAAUUUCUGCUAAUACCGCAUAAGCACACACUGCCGCAUGGCAGAGGGUGAAAAGAGAAUCGCUAUGAGAUGGACCCGCGUCUGAUUAGCCAGUUGGCAGGGUAAGAGCCUACCAAAGCGACGAUCAGUAGCCGAUCUGAGAGGAUGAACGGCCACAUUGGGACUGAGACACGGCCCAAACUCCUACGGGAGGCAGCAGUGGGGGAUAUUGCACAAUGGGGGGAACCCUGAUGCAGCGACGCCGCGUGAGUGAAGAAGUAUUUCGGUAUGUAAAGCUCUAUCAGCAGGGAAGAUAAUGACAGUACCUGAAGAAGAAGCCCCGGCUAACUACGUG
rnacentral:rRNA from 1 species